rnacentral:rRNA from 1 species
UGAGCAAUCUGCCCUUCUCUUUGGAAUAAGCGUUGGAAACGACGUCUAAUGCCGAAUACGACCUCCUUUCGCAUGAUCGGAGGUGGAAAGCUCCGGCGGAGAAGGAUGAGCUCGCGGCCUAUCAGCUAGUUGGUGUGGGUAAUGGCCCACCAAGGCGACGACGGGUAGCCGGCCUGAGAGGGUGACCGGCCACACUGGGACUGAGACACGGCCCAGACUCCUACGGGAGGCAG